CAGUCGCCGCGGGAAUACGUAGGUGGCAAGCGUUGUCCGGAAUUAUCGGGCGUAAAGGGCUCGCAGGCGGUUUCUUAAGUCUGAUGUGAAAGCCCCCGGCUCAACCGGGGAGGGUCAUUGGAAACUGGGAAACUUGAGUGCAGAAGAGGAGAGUGGAAUUCCACGUGUAGCGGUGAAAUGCGUAGAGAUGUGGAGGAACACCAGUGGCGAAGGCGACUCUCUGGUCUGUAACUGACGCUGAGGAGCGAAAGCGUGGGGAGCGAACAGGAUUAGAUACCCCUGUAGUCCCUGUCUCUUAUAC
rnacentral:rRNA from 1 species